rnacentral:rRNA from 1 species
GAUCAUGGCUCAGGAUGAACGCUGGCGGCGCGCCUAACACAUGCAAGUCGAACGAGGCAUACGGACCGGAGAUUCGUCGAAGGACUGUAUGACUUAGUGGCGGACGGGUGAGUAAUGUAUGAGCAACCUGCCUUUCAGAGGGGGACAACAGUUGGAAACGACUGCUAAUACCGCGUAAUGUAUCGUGAGGGCAUCCUCGUGAUACCAAAGGAGCAAUCCGCUGAAAGAUGGGCUCAUAUCUGAUUAGCUUGUUGGCGGGGUAACGGCCCACCAAGGCGACGAUCAGUAGCCGGACUGAGAGGUUGAACGGCCACAUUGGGACUGAGAUACGGCCCAGACUCCUACGGGAGGCAGCAGUGGGGAAUAUUGGGCAAUGGGCGAAAGCCCUGACCCAGCAACGCCGCGUGAAGGAAGAAGGUCUUCGGAUUGUAAACUUCUUUUAUGAGGGACGAAGGACGUGACGGUACCUCAUGAAUAAGCCACGGCUAACUACGUGCCAGCCGCCGC